ensembl:lncRNA
CUGAAUUGAGCUACAGUAACUGGGUAAUGGUUUCAAGUUUUGUAUCGUGGAUAAGUAACUGACAUGUUUAAAAAUAAUACAGAACAAAACAUACCAGACUAAUUUAUUUGCCGUCGGGACAUGUGGACAACAACGCCUCUGAAUAGCGCGGGUGUGAUAUUCAGAUUUGCGGACUGGAGAGAGCCAUCACUGCCCUUCAGAAACAGGAUUCCCUUCUGAACAUGUGAAUGUAUGGAGGUACAACUUCUUCAACAUAACGAAAAUGGGGCCAUCUCUUGUUCUUCAGUGUUUUCUUCUGGCAGCCGUGGUUAUUCGAGUGAUCUAUUCGCAGUCAGAGGGAGGGACACAAGCAGCAAGUCUGAUCUGCUUUCCUGCGAUGCUUCCGUCUGCUUUUGCCGGCAUCGCCAGCUUCCCCAUCUGUUGGCCAGUCUCCGGGUAACAACCCGCAUAAAUGAAAACAGAAGCACGAAUAAACAUCAUGGAAAAAUUUAUAUUAGUUAUGCA